GACGCACGCUGGCGGCGUGCUUAACACAUGCAAGUCGAACGGAGUGGCGAACGGGUGAGUAACCCGUGGGUGAUCUGCGUUGCACUUCGGGAUAAGCUUGGGCAACUGGGUCUAAUACCGGAUAGUGCAAGAUGAGCUCGCGGCCUAUCAGCUUGUUGUUGGGGUAAUGGCCUACCAAGGCGUCGACGGGUACCCGGCCUGAGAGGGUGUACGGCCACAUUGGGACUGAGUUACCGCCCAGACUACUACGGGAGGCAGCAGGGGGGAAUAUUGCACAAGGGGCGGAAGCCUGAUGCAGCGACGCCGGGUGGUGGAUGAAGGCCUUCGGGUUGUAAACUCCUUUCGACAGGGACGCGGUACCUGUAUAAGAAGCCCCGGCUAACUACGUGCGAGCAGCCGCGGUAAUUC
rnacentral:rRNA from 1 species